AACAAGGCGUACCUGCGGACCUGCGGAGGGAUCAUUAUCGAGUGUAAUCUACCCCUUAAAAAAGGGUGGUACCCUCCCGUCCUUUGCAGGCCCCCUUUUUUUAUGGGGGGCUCUUUUUAAGACUUUCUGCUUCGGCGGGGUUAUUCCCGCCGGAACACCCUCAAAAAACUCUCGGAAAAAAUCGUUCAGUCCGAGAAAUUUUUGAAAAUAUAAAAACUUUCAACAACGGAUCUCAGAUCG
rnacentral:misc_RNA from 1 species